AGAGUUUGAUCAUGGCUCAGGAUGAACGCUAGCGGGAGGCCUAACACAUGCAAGCCGAGCGGUAUUGUUUCUUCGGAAAUGAGAGAGCGGCGUACGGGUGCGGAACACGUGUGCAACCUGCCUUUAUCUGGGGGAUAGCCUUUCGAAAGGAAGAUUAAUACUCCAUAACAUAUUGAACGGCAUCGUUUAAUAUUGAAAGCUCAGGCGGAUAGAGAUGGGCACGCGCAAGAUUAGCUAGUUGGUGAGGUAACGGCUCACCAAGGCAAUGAUCUUUAGGGGGCCUGAGAGGGUGAUCCCCCACACUGGUACUGAGACACGGACCAGACUCCUACGGGAGGCAGCAGUGAGGAAUAUUGGUCAAUGGGUGCAAGCCUGAACCAGCCAUCCCGCGUGAAGGACGACUGCCCUAUGGGUUGUAAACUUCUUUUGUAUAGGGAUAAACCUUUCCACGUGUGGAAAGCUGAAGGUACUAUACGAAUAAGCACCGGCUAACUCCGUG
rnacentral:rRNA from 1 species